GGCAUCCCGUGGCUGAACACAUAGGCCAUGGGAAGGGAACCUGGGGAACUGAAACAUCUUAGUACCCAGAGGAAAAGAGACCAUUCCCCUAGUAGUGGCGAGCGAACGGGGAAGAGCCCAAACCAUCCGGCAUGCCGGAUGGGGUUGUAGGACUCGGCAAAUAGGAGUUAGAAAACCGUUGAUUAGCAGAAAGGUGUGGGAAAGCCUACCAAAGAGGGUGAUAGUCCCGUAUGCGAAAAUCAUCGGCCUCCUGUCGAGCACCUGAGUACUACCGGGCACGCUAAUCCGGUAGGAAGCUGGGGAGACCACUCUCCAAGGCUAAAUACACUUGACGACCGAUAGUGAACAAGUACCGUGAGGGAAAGGUGAAAAGUACCCCUGUGAGGGGAGUGAAAUAGAACCUAAAACCGUAAGCUUACAAGCAGUCGAAGGGCUAAUAGUGCGACUGUGCUCUGGAGAGAUCCAGGUGCGCGGCGCUAAGCCUGACGGCGUGCCUUUUGGAGAAUGAGCCUGCGAGUUAAUCUUUGUCGCGAGGUUAAGGGAGAGACACCCGGAGCCGAAGCGAAAGCGAGUCUUAAUAGGGCGCGUAGUGGCAGGGAUUAGACACGAAACCGAGUGAGCUACCCAUGGCCAGGGUGAAGCGGGUCUAAACGCCCGUGGAGGCCCGAACCCACUAAUGUUGCAAAAUUAGGGGAUGAGCUGUGGGUAGAGGUGAUAUGCCAAACGAACUCGGAGAUAGCUUGUUCUCCCCGAAAUAGCUUUAGGGCUAGCGUCAUGUGGUGAGUACCGGAGG
rnacentral:rRNA from 1 species